rnacentral:rRNA from 1 species
AGAGUUUGAUCCUGGCUCAGAACGAACGCUGGCGGCAGGCUUAACACAUGCAAGUCGAACGCAUCGCAAGAUGAGUGGCAGACGGGUGAGUAACGCGUGGGAACAUACCCUUUCCUGCGGAAUAGCUCCGGGAAACUGGAAUUAAUACCGCAUACGCCCUACGGGGGAAAGAUUUAUCGGGGAAGGAUUGGCCCGC